GACAGAGGGUGCAAACGUUGCUCGGAAUUACUGGGCGUAAAGCGCGUGUAGGUGGCCCAGCAAGUCAGGCGUGAAAUCCCUAGGCUCAACCUAGGAACUGCACCUGAAACUUCUGGUCUUGAGUGGUGGAGAGGAAAGCAGAAUUCCUGGUGUAGAGGUGAAAUUCGUAGAUAUCAGGAGGAACACCGGUGGCGAAGGCGGCUUUCUGGACACUUACUGACACUGAGACGCGAAAGCGUGGGGAGCAAACAGG
rnacentral:rRNA from 1 species